CCUACGGGAGGCAGCAGUGGGGAAUAUUGGACAAUGGGCGCAAGCCUGAUCCAGCCAUGCCGCGUGAGUGAUGAAGGCCCUAGGGUUGUAAAGCUCUUUCGNGCGGGAAGAUAAUGACGGUACCGNNAGAAUAAGCCCCGGCUAACUUCGUGCCAGCAGCCGCGGUAAU
rnacentral:rRNA from 1 species